rnacentral:rRNA from 1 species
ACAAGUAUGAAAGACAAGCUGAUAGACUUUUCUCAAUGAUGUAAGUGGUGGUGCAUGGUCGUUCUUAGUUCGUGGAUUGAUUUGUCUGGUCUAUUCCGAUAACGAGCGAGACCCCUCCGUUCCUACUAGGGGCGGCAGCCCGGCUUUUCCGCCCUCACGGGUGGGCUUGCUAGCAGCCGCUUAAGAUUCACUUCUUAGACGUAUCAGGGCCGAUAAGGUCCUUGAAAUGGGUUAAUAACAGGUCAGUCAUGCCCUUAGAUGUUCUGGGCCGCACGCGCGUUACAAUGGUAUACAAAGAACGUGCUCCUAUGGGGCUUCUCCGCGGCCGACAGGCUGUGGUAACCCCUAGUCUCUCCCUUGACUGGGCCAGACUAUUGUAAUUAUUGGUCUCCAACGAGGAAUUUUUAGUAGUCGCAGGUCAUUAACCUGCGACGA